ensembl:rRNA 5S_rRNA 5S ribosomal RNA
GUCUAUGGCCAUGCCACCCUGAACGUGCCCAGUCUCAUCUGAUCUCGAGGCUAAGCAGGAUCGGGUCUGGUUAGUACUUGGAUGGGAGACCACCUAGGAAGACCAGGUGCUGCAGGCA